GGGGGGUUGGAGAUUCAUGAUCCUUGAGGUCCCUUCCAACCCUGGCCAUUCUGUGAUUCUGUGAUUAAGGCACUUUUCAGUACCCAGUCCUUACUGAGCUCCACAGGCUCUCUGUCCCAUAGCUCCAGUUGCACGUUUCCUUGGGCUGUGGUUUUGCUGUUGGCCUCUGCCAGGAAAUACCCAACCACAGGCUGACUUGCACAAGCCCAUCGCUUCUACUGGUGGCUUCAUUCAUCAAGGGGCUUAUCUCAAACUGCGCUGCAAAUGUAGAAGUGGCUAUAUGUAAAAAUAAGAAGACCAUCUCUUAAGAAAGUGAUAUGGAAGUUCUGGAAAUGCUUUUCUGCUAAGUUCACUAGAUAUAAGUUUGCAGCAAGACAACACCAUAAACUUUAAUAUGUUUAUGUUACAAAACACUAGCAAGUCCUCUGAAGCAUGACAAUAAUAAAACAGCAAGUUUUGACGCUGUCAAAAACGUUAUGUGCAGAAAGCUGUGCAGUUUGGUAAGCUAUUUCCUUUGUUGCGAGGUACUAACCGAGGCACAGAUCCUCACAGUUUGGGUCUCACCCACAAGCUGGAGUUCAUUCUGUGGUCAGAGACCUCAGGCACACAGAACUGCAAGAAGUAACACCAAGACAAUUAAGUAUGCAUAAAAAUGAAAGCAACAAACAAAGUAGGUUGGAAUAAACUUUGGUCAGUUGAGUGAGUCCCCUCCAUGAGGGCUCAUGAUGAGACCUCUGGCACUAACAAGCAGAAUUAACCACAGAUUUUAUGUGAAAACUCAGCUUAGGCCAAAGCUCAGAAUAAUUUCAUUCUCUAGAAUACCAAAGAAUGUGCUACCACUUCAGCAUUUAACAAGACACAAUAUCAAGUGUAAAUCACAACUGCUACAUGACAGUAAAACCAGACUUGGCUAUUUUUCUUACAGCAGGGACAAAAUUGGUUAGCACAAGGCACACUAAGUACCAAAUCAGCUUAAAAGCAACAUAGAAAGCCAUCUGCAGUAUUUCCUGAGGCACAAAACCAAAAGCAGUAAAUCAUACAAGAUUUUGCACAGUGUCAGUAAAACCAAAAAUAGAAAGGAAGGGCUGACCCCACCUCCAGCGGCUGGGGUCAGGAAAGCAGGCUUCCUCUACCAACAGGACCUCCAGGUUUCACCACAGCCCUGCUAUCUUAGAAAAAGUAGAGACUGUUUUUUUUUCAUCUCUAGAGACUUGCCUUACAGCAUACUGGGAGAAAAGCCUUGCUCUUAACCAAAGUGAGACAGGCACGCGAAUAGCACCAGGGCUGCAGCACACUUUGAAAGUGGGACAAGGUAAAAACCAUAGAGGCCUCAGGCUUUGGAGCCAGUGCAAAGAGCAAUAUGCAAAGCAGCCCGGUACUGCUGAAUCUGCACGUCAAUCUUCAAGCAGACAGAGGAUGCAGCUCAGAUGCGACCUUCAGGCUCCCUGUCCCUUCACAUUCUUCUGCUCAGGCUCCAAAACCUGCACAAUGACAAUGGCCCACAACACACACGUAUUGGCUUCCUCCAGUGAAAUCACCCAUCCACCACAGACCAAACAACCACUGCCAGGCACCUAUCAGGCCCUGAUUUAAAUCAGUGGUAUACCAGUUCAUUAGCUUUUCACACCACUGCAGAUGGAGGAAGAGAAAAAUGUAUUCCCUUCAGUUGCAAAGAUUUACAAAGGUUAUACUCCCCACAGAGAAACCAUACAGCACUUAUGUCUUCUUCAAAGACAUGGAAGCUGAAUUAAUUACAAGCACAGAGAAGCACAGUUGAGUUUGUGAACAGCUCCACCUUCCCAGAUUUUGCUGACCAGAAACCUCUCCCCACCUUGUGAUGCUGGUGUGAGGGGAAGGAAUGCUGAGGGCAUGCUAUCAUGUUACCCAUUCUUUUGCACAACCGAUCUUACUUUCCGAAUCUGAAGCAGAAGGUAAAGAAAGGAUGGCACGGGCACAGCAGCUGCCAAAAGGAUUGAAAAAUCCCAAGAACAAGAUGUUUCCAUGUCACAUGUAGUCACAUUAGCUUCACCUUCUGCUUGCAUUCAGCAAUUCCAGAGUUACAGCCACAAGAUUUAUGCUCUCACUCUGAUGUCACCUUCCCACAUGGCUUCCUGCUGUCACAAGGUGUUCACAAAGGACCUGUCACAAGCCUCACCAACUAGAUCAGGCACCGCUCUGCUGCCUCUUGCUUAAUAUGGAAACUGGAGGAUUAAACAAGCUGGGGUUGGAGAAGGUAGCUGGAGCAGGUGACUUCCGAGUGGUGCUCUGCAAGGAAAUCUGCGCUGCUGUGGAGAACUCUGAUGCCGUACCCAGCUGCCAAGCUGUGGUUUAUGACAGUAGUUCCCUGAGGGAAGUGAGGUGUGGAGCAGGAGGAAGAGGGACCUCCCUGCCGUGGUCCCCUCCGUAACACACAGUGCUGCAGGGCUGCGCUGCUGCUGCACAGACCUGAGGGAUUCACUGCGCUUUCCAAACGGGUUUGUCAACAAUGAAAACAUCACUCUGGCAUUUACACCAUUGCCAUUACUCAGAGGACAUCUCCUGUCAUGCAACUGUUACUCGAGUUUUCCAUUAGUCAAUAAAUGCCAAACGGCCUCUUCCA